AGGGAAGAAAAAAGUAAAGUAGGAGAGCGAGGUUUAAGACGAUUACUUUAGUCAGAAGUACAAUGAGAUUCCGAUUGAUGAGCAAUGCUAAAAUAGUUCUAGGAAAUCCACAAACGAUGAAGGUUGAUUGCCAGGCGAUGUGUCCCUUUCAGAUCAUCCAACAAGGGUUUCUUAGUUUCAAGUUGCCAUGCCAAAAAUCUCCAUGCUUUUGAGUGGCGAUUCAAGCACAUUUUCAGAGGUGACAUACUUCAUUUGCCUUGCACUCUUGCAGAUGUCCCUAAUCACCUGGGGAAUGGUAUUAACUGGAUGGAUGACUUGCAUUCUCUACUUUGCUCCUCCAUAGAAUGAGCAACGAAUUUCAAUUGAUUUGUUUAUGCACAAACCAAAUCCAUUUUGACUUUUUAUGUCUUAUGUUAGUAUUAUUACUCUUACUUUUAUCUUGGAUUUGAACUUCUUUUUGUAUAGCUGUUCUGUUGGUUACUGAUUUACUGGCGAGAUUCAUGGGUAAAUUGUGAA